CAGACAGUUCUGACUUAACAGUGUUGUGCCUUGAGAUAGAGUACUUCACAUUUUUCUACGUAAUAGGAUUUUGUUCCAUUGAUUGCUCUCUACCAAGUCCAGUCCCUUGUGCUGAGCAUGGUGUAGACUGCUAAAGAACUCUUUAAAUAUGAUGUGAUAGAGCAGAUGAAGUAGAAGUUAUUAGUGAGGAUUCUGAGAUCAGUUGGUUUUUUUUUUCCAGUCACUGUGUGGAAAGAACUUGACAACUAUUCUUAAUGAAUACGUAGCCAUGAAAACAAAAGAAACAACAAAUGAAGUUCCAGCAAUGAUGUCAUCUCUGUGGAAAAAAUUAGACUAUACACUUUCUCAGAUCAGGAGCAUGCAGAAUUCAGAUUUCAGAUUUUCUUCUAAUCAGAGGAGUAAGUAACUGAGUCAAUUCCAUGGGAUCAGUAGGUUUUAUGUUAAAAUUAUCUGUCUUGAUUAGAAACAGGGGACUUCUGCAGCCAUCAGUAAUACAUGUGUGUUGUCUUCAGUGUGAUCUCUGGAUUACUAUAAUGAUCAGGAAAGGAAAAUAAGAAAAGCUGAGCUUUCUGAAAGGGGCUUAAAUGCUCUAUUAUAGCAUUUUCUCUGCUGAAAAAAACUUUUAGGAAGUUUACAUGAUUAAGAGGUUUUAAAACUGCUGCUUCACUCCUGAAACUGCUGAUUUAAUUUGUGGUUCAUAGAUGAACUAAAAACAUAGCCAGUCUAAUUGUAAUGCAGUUGCAUUUCUGUAGAAGGGGAACAUAAAGACAUAUU
rnacentral:lncRNA from 1 species